AGAGUUUGAUCCUGGCUCAGAACGAACGCUGGCGGCAGGCUUAACACAUGCAAGUCGAACGCAUCGCAAGAUGAGUGGCAGACGGGUGAGUAACGCGUGGGAACCUUCCUUGUGGUAAGGAAUAACUUAGGGAAACUUAAGCUAAUACCUUAUACCUCCUCCGGGAGAAAGAUUUAUCGCCAUAAGAUGGGCCCGCGUUG
rnacentral:rRNA from 1 species